UUUUUUACCUGAAAGAGAAGACACCAUGGUCACAGAAGGUGGAUUUUCCAUGACGAAGCUAAUCCUUUGCAUUCCAGAUGUUCUGAUCCCUGUAAUUUUCCCUAGUGAAGGAACCACUACUGCCUUUUUGGUAGUAGGAGAUUGUUUGCAUCCUCCCC
rnacentral:snRNA from 1 species